GGGGAAUUUUGGACAAUGGGGGCAACCCUGAUCCAGCCAUGCCGCGUGAGUGAAGAAGGCCUUCGGGUUGUAAAGCUCUUUCGGACGGAAAGAAAACGGAUGGGUUAAUACCCUGUUCGGAUGACGGUACCGUCAUAAGAAGCACCGGCUAACUACGUGCCAGCAGCCGCGGUAAUACGUAGGGUGCGAGCGUUAAUCGGAAUUACUGGGCGUAAAGCGUGCGCAGGCGGUUGAUUAAGACAGGCGUGAAAUCCCCGGGCUUAACCUGGGAACUGCGCUUGUGACUGGUCGGCUAGAGUACGGCAGAGGGGGGUGGAAUUCCACGUGUAGCAGUGAAAUGCGUAGAGAUGUGGAGGAACACCGAUGGCGAAGGCAGCCCCCUGGGCCGAUACUGACGCUCAUGCACGAAAGCGUGGGUAGCAAACA
rnacentral:rRNA from 1 species